rnacentral:misc_RNA from 1 species
UGCGGCUGGAUCCCCUCCUUUCUAGAGCGAUGCACCUGCGCAUCGCCAGCGUCCACAACCUAUCGGCUGUUGGUUGUCAGAAGUCGGUCCAUGGUCGAACGCCGCGCGAGUUGCGCGCGGCGCGAAAGCCGACCUGACAACUGCCGGCUAUUCCAGCUGACAACGGACAACGAACAACGGGUCUGUAGCUCAGUUGGUUAGAGCACCGUCUUGAUAAGGCGGGGGUCGUUGGUUCAACUCCAACCAGACCCACCAGAUGAAAACUCUCCGCGCCGGUAGACGAAGAGCGGGGGAUGCGGGCCUCGGGGCUGUAGCUCAGCUGGGAGAGCAUCUGCUUUGCAAGCAGGGGGUCGUCGGUUCGAAUCCGAUCAGCUCCACCAGCACCCAUCGAGGAAUCACGAGUACGCGAGCGUGCGCGCCGCGCAGUCGUGACUCCUCGUGAGUCGGCUGUUCGUUCUUUAACAAUUCGGAAGAAGCGUGCGUGCCGUCCGAUGUCCGGACGGUGCGCAUAGGUAGUGAUUGCAUCGGUUCGCUCGCCCCUCAGUCAGCAGGGCGGGCGGACGCGCCGCGAGAUCCGUCCAUUCGCAUCCGGGCACCCGAGCCCGGAGCGCGUUUGGGGUUAUAGGGUCAAGCGACAAAGUGCAUGUGGUGGAUGCCUUGGCGAUCACAGGCGAUGAAGGACGUCGUAGCGUGCGAAAAGCUUCGGGGAGCCCGCAAACAGGCUUUGAUCCGGAGAUGUCCGAAUGGGGAAACCCGG